GGAUGGCUCAGUCGGUAGAGCAUGAGACUAUCUUGAUCUCAGGAUCAUGGGUUUGAGCGCCACGUUGAACA